GGGCUUUGCAGGUUUGUGUGCUCUGAGGAUAAGGGCUCUUGCUGGUGGUUUUCCUCCCCAGAGUCCCAGUGCACAGUGCUGCUCAGAGAACAAGCCUCUUGCUUUCUCUGCCUUUCUCUUUCAUAGAAAUAUAUUUUUAAUGGCUGUGGGUAUCUGCGCCAUGUGAAAUAGGGCGUGUGAUAUCCCUCCAAACCCCUUGUAAUUGGACCAUAGCUGAAAAGGAAAUAUGGGGGGGAUGUCUGGGGAGGCAGGGGGUGCACAGGCAGUUUCGUCCUUGCAGACCUUCCCCCCCGCCCUUUUCUCUGCUGAGGAGGGAAAAGGGGAUGUGCAGUAAAAUGCCGUCUCUGGGACAGGUGCCAGCUCUCAGACAAAAGAAGUAAAAUAGGCGGUAAAGAGGGAGGGGGGGGUGGAAAUUAAUAGGCAACAAAAAUAGGAAUCGAAAAUCUCCGAGAGGCAGGGCUGGCGAAAGGGCUGGUGCCCGACCGGCCUUUUUGCUGAAUAUUUUCUUUGCGAUGGGUGGGAAGGAGAAAGUUGCGGCACACUUUUUAUUCCCGUCUCCUCUGCAGACGUUUGGGAGCGUGAAGGGAGGAUGUUUGUUUUUUGUUUUUUUUUUUCUCUCUUCAACCCCCCCCCUUCUUCUUUUCCCUUCUUUCUACUGAAUUAUUCAUAUUGUCAGUGGUGAAGCCAGGACUAUUAGCAUGCAUCAGACAUGCUGUUUGUCUGUUUGCUAACAUUCUUCAUUCAAGACUUGUUAACUACCAGACAAGCUUAACACGCUUCUCUUUUUUCCCCUCCCCUCCUCUUUCCCUCCGUCUCUCCCCCCUCGCUCCCUCCCUCGCUCCCUCCCCUCUCUUCUCCCUUCCCUUCUGCCUGCUCUGCUCCCUUCCCUUCGCCGCCGUCCCUGCCACCCCUCGCAGCCGCCCAUUGUUGCCGGUGGGGCCGGUGCGGCGCGGGGCGAGGCCGCCUCCCGGGCCUGCCCGGCCGCGCAGAUGCGCCGCCUCGCCCGGAGCCUCCCGCCCGCCUUCCCGGGGACUGCGGAGCUGCGAGGGGAACACCCAGCGCCGCAUCCAUCGGCGGCUCCCGAGGGGGGGGGGGGGGGGGGGGGGGGGGGGGGGGGGGGGGGGGGGGGGGCGGCUCCCGAGCCGCCGUCCCGCCCUGCCAGGGUCCAGCUCUGGCCCUUGGAAGGGCGUCGCUCACUGCGGAGCUGCUGCAGCACCCGAGGUCUGAACCCAUGGAUUCAGCAUGGAGAGCCCUCAUGUCCAGCAGCCAGGUGGAGCAGACUGCUGGGAAAAGGGACUUCGGUGUGUGACAGCGAGAUUCACCAGUGCCCCUUCCACCACUGCAUAUCAGCCUGGAUGUAA
rnacentral:lncRNA from 12 species